CACAAGCCAGAGUUUUAUCCUCCGCAGAAACACUAAAACCAAAGUUUCAAGCAAGAUGUCUGUUUUCACAGGCCGCCGGAGCCAGUGCGGACCUGCCAAGCACACAGAACCAGGACCAGAUCCACCUGCUAGUGCAGCGGCCCCGCCAAGCAGACGAGCCCACCAGUGAAGCGUGCUGGACCGUCCAAGAACAGGCAGAGAGACGGGCAAACCUGCCAGCGGGUAGUUCUAGUUUUCCCAACAGAACCUCAGUCGGGACCUGGACGAGCAUGUGAGAACUGGACCUGAAAGGGCUGCUAAUCAGGCUGCCUGAGACAAGGUAAGAACACCAGAACCAACGUGGAGGCUGCGACCCCGGCCGCUCCCUCGUGGGCCGGGGCCCCCUGGGGACGCGACCUCCUGGCGCCGAGCCGCUCCGACAGCAGCUGCGUCAGCGCCCGUCAUCGUGACGCAUUCCAGUGACAGUGUCUCCUGCUGAGCGACGGCCAGAAGGAGGGCGGCCGGGAGCGGAAUGAGCACAGGCGCAUGCGGGAGCUGCUGUUUUCCUGGGGAACGGUCUCCAAAAGACCCUCGCCGCCGUCGAGGACAGCCACGUUGACGCAUACGUUGGGGGAAUUUACUUCCUGGGAGUUUUUCUGACCCGCCCAGUGCUGAAAUGUGACAGACUGGCUGUUCAUUAGGCAGAACAGAUACUGUGGGUAGUUAUUGCUGCUAUUAGACGUUACGGCAUAUAAUUAUGUAAUAGGGGCUGUUUACUAUGUUAUGCCAUGCAGAGGAGCCCUCCGCUCCACGUCAGCAGUAAUGAAUAGCUGCUGAUUUGAAGCCACCACACGGACUGUGUUCCUCCAGUGGCUUCGUUCCAUUCAUUUCCCCAUGAAAUGAAUGGAUUAGGACAGCAGCGUGCAGCGGCCGCAUUUAAAGCGAGGGCGGCGAGGGUCAAGUGGCGUGCGCUGGGCGGCCCGCGCCGCCAGGACCUCACCGUAACCUCGUUUGGACCGGGAGCGGAUGAACAGGCUGCCACAGCGCCACCUGGCGACCGACUGGGGCCGAACCGCGGAGCGGCAGCGCGCAGAUGUGCUCGCGUUCGCGGGGAGAGGCUGCGGCUGCAGCGGGCUGGAGGUCCGGCAUCUCCGCGUUCACGCUCUCCCACGCAGACGUGUGCAGGCUCUGCUCACACCUCCUGACAUAUUUACACAUCUGCGUCCGCCGCGGACGCAUUCUGGUCGACAGCCGCUCCCUGUUCAGCACCGUGAGGGAGACGCAGGACGCAGGAGAGGAUGGGACGUGCGUGAGCGAGAGGAGCGAGCGGAGCGGAGCGUACAGACUGUUCCCCUCUGUUACCUAGCAACCCUCGCAGCCUGAUGCCAUCCAGACUAUUUCACUCACGCUGCGCAUCGGCUCUGGGAGACGACACGAAGCCCAGUGAGACCAGGGUUCAGGAGCUGAUGGAAACUGCAGCGUGACACAGACCCACGGUACCUUGGCGUGCAGUUGCUGCUGAUGUAUGUUCCUGGCGGCGAUCAUGGCCAGCUGUCUCUGGAUCCACUGCAGCUCCAUCUGAGACUGUCUCAGCAGCUCCUCCACAUUAGCACCCGACGUGUGAUCCCGCAUUAUCACCUAGAAGACCCACAGAUUACAAACACAGCACAACACUCGCUCGCGUGGAAAAACUAACUGCAGGAUUAAGCAGCUCCUUCUGCCCGUGUGUCCCUGAGCCUCAGCCAAACGCUCAAACAGCUUCUCCACGCUGACUCACCUUGGACAGCCUCUAUUUCCUUGCCGGCGACUGUGGAGGAUGAGAAGAGACACAACAACAACAACAACAACAGUGAGAGCAAAAACAGACAGAGCUCAGGGCUCCUGUAGAUUUCUAGAGAAACGUCUCGUCCUGCCAGGAUCUCUGUGAGCCCACAGUGCUCCCAGAUUUAUCUGUCGGACGGCAGCCUACGUCACUAUCCAGGCCGGAAUGUGGGGUUUCUCAUUUGCCCUUAAUUAUUCCAUCAAUCAAUUUAUUCCAUGGUAGCACUGCUUUAUUUAAAGUAGGACACUACUGUCACAGCUUCACAUCAGCUUGAAUCAUCUUUUGCUGUUGUUUAGGUCAGACAGAAACAAGAGUAAUUAUUAAAAAGGCCUGCCUAAAGUCUGCCCUUCGCUACAUUAACACAUGUAGUUACAGAUAAAGUUCAGGCCUUUACCUAUAGACACCAAACACAACAUACGAUGAACAGCUUUAAAGUUCCUGGUUCAUAUUUAUUACCCUGAGA